rnacentral:rRNA from 1 species
AUGAGGUUCCGCCAUGAGGCGGCGGCAGAGGGGCGCACCCCCGCGUGGUUAGGGCCGCUGCUAGGUGCGGAGUUCUUCAAGCCGUGCGCUACUCACCCCUACCUAGUGAAGAAUGAGUGCAACCAUUACUGCCUCGACUGCGCGGGAGAGGAUGACGCCAUCUGCUGCACCCAGUGCGUCUCCGCCCAUCCCAGCCACCACAUCGUCCAGAUUCGAAAGUCGUCAUAUCACGAAGUGAUCCGAGUGCCAGAGCUGAAGGCGGUGGCGGACGUCUCGCAGGUGCAGACGUACGUCAUCAACUAUGACAGGGUGGUGUUCCUGAACUGGCGGCCAUAGGCGCCGCAGCACGGCGUCAAGUGCGUUGGCCCCGCCGGCGUGUGCCUGGAGUCCAGCCGUGGACUCGUCGAUGCCAACUUCCUCUUCUGCUCACUGAGCUGCAAGGUACAUGCACGCGUCUUACUGUCGCCUCUCUGGUGCGCUUAUUACCUUCCAUAUUUGUGCGUUUGCUGUGAGGGCACCACGUGUCUCGAUAAGAUCAAUUAA